rnacentral:lncRNA from 1 species
UUAUUUCUACAUUCAAUUUUACAUUUUAUUCAGUUUAGUCUCAAAUAUAAGAAACUAUCAAUUAACUUUACAAUUUGGUCCUUUUUCACACCUAAACUUAGAAUCUAUCAAUAUGACACCUAAAACUUUAAGAAAUCAUCAAUGGUAACUUUCUAAGAUUUUAAAAGUUUAAAAAGUUUAUACAUGAACUAACCAAUUCAAGCUCCCAUGACCUCAAAAACAUACAAAUUGAAAAAGAAAAAAAAAGCAAAGAAAAGAAAAGAAAG